GAUAAACGCUGGCGGCGUGCCUAAAACAUGCAAGUCGUGCGGUAACAGGAGUAGUUUACUACUCGCUGACGACCGGCGCACGGGUGAGUAACGCGUAUGCAACCUACCCUUAACUGGGGAAUAGCCCGAAGAAAUUCGGAUUAAUGUCCCAUAAUAUUACGAGUUCGCAUGGACAUGUAAUAAAAACUCCGGUGGUUAAGGAUGGGCAUGCGUGCCAUUAGGUAGUUGGUGAGGUAAUGGCUCACCAAGCCUACGAUGGCUAGGGGGCCUGAGAGGGUAAUCCCCCACACUGGUACUGAGACACGGACCAGACUCCUACGGGAGGCAGCAGUGAGGAAUAUUGCGCAAUGGAGGCAACUCUGACGCAGCCAUGCCGCGUGCAGGAAGACGGCCCUAUGGGUUGUAAACUGCUUUUAUACGGGAAUAAUCCCUCGCACGUGUGCGGGGUUGAAUGUACCGUAAGAAUAAGCAUCGGCUAACUCCGUGCCAGCAGCCGCGGUAAU
rnacentral:rRNA from 1 species